rnacentral:rRNA from 1 species
ACGGGGUAUAUAAGCGGAAGUUUACGGAUGGAAGGUUAUAUACUUAGUGGCGGACGGGUGAGUAACGCGUGGGCAACCUGCCCCGUGCCGGGGGAUACCGCCUGGAAACAGGCGCUAAUACCGCAUAAGCGCAUACAGCCGCAUGGGUGUAUGCGGAAAGCUCCGGCGGCACGGGAUGGGCCCGCGCCCGAUUAGCCAGUUGGCGGGGUAACGGCCCACCAAAGCGACGAUCGGUAGCCGGCCUGAGAGGGCGGACGGCCACAUUGGGACUGAGACACGGCCCAAACUCCUACGGGAGGCAGCAGUGGGGAAUAUUGCACAAUGGGGGAAACCCUGAUGCAGCAACGCCGCGUGGGUGAAGGAGCGUUUCGGCGCGUAAAGCCCUGUCAGCGGGGAAGAAGAAAGACGGUACCCGACCAAGAAGCCCCGGCUAACUACGUGCCAGCAGCCGCGGUAAUACGUAGGGGGCGAGCGUUAUCCGGAAUUACUGGGUGUAAAGGGAGCGUAGACGGCGAGGUAAGCCUGAAGUGGAAGCCCGCGGCCCAACCGCGGAACUGCUUUGGGAACUGUUUUGCUGGAGUAUGGGAGGGGUAAGCCCCAUUCCUGCUGUAGCGGUGAAAUGCGUAGAUAUCUUGUGGAACACCGGUGGCGAAGGCGGCUUACUGGA